AGUACUUUUUUUUUUUUUUUUUUUUUUUUUUUUUUUUUUUUUUUUUUUUUUUUUUUUCCAAACACG
rnacentral:ribozyme from 13 species